UAAUUGAAGAGUUUGAUCAUGGCUCAGAUUGAACGCUGGCGGCAGGCCUAACACAUGCAAGUCGAGCGGUAACAGGGAAGCUUGCUUCGCUGACGAGCGGCGGACGGGUGAGUAAUGUAUGGGGAUCUGCCCGAUAGAGGGGAUAACUACUGGAAACGGUAGCUAAUACCGCAUAAUCUCUCAGGAGCAAAGCAGGGGAACUUCGGUCCUUGCGCUAUCGGAUGAACCCAUAUGGGAUUAGCUAGUAGGUGAGGUAAUGGCUCACCUAGGCGACGAUCCCUAGCUGGUCUGAGAGGAUGAUCAGCCACACUGGGACUGAGACACGGCCCAGACUCCUACGGGAGGCAGCAGUGAAUAUUGCACAAUGGGCGCAAGCCUGAUGCAGCCAUGCCGCGUGUAUGAAGAAGGCCCUAGGGUUGUAAAGUACUUUCAGUCGGAAGGCGCUGAUGCUAAUAUCAUCAGCGAUUGACGUUACCGACAGAAGCACCACACCUGUGCCAGCAGCCGCGGUAAUACGGAGGGUGCAAGCAUCGGAAUUACUGGGCGUAAAGCGCACGCAGGCGGUUGAUUAAGUUAGAUGUGAAAUCCCCGGGCUAACCUGGGAAUGGCAUCUAAGACUGGUCAGCUAGAGUCUUGUAGAGGGGGGUAGAAUUCCACGUGUAGCGGU
rnacentral:rRNA from 1 species